GAAACCAGUUUCACCUGUCUUUCAUUCUCUCUUUUCCUGCCGCCAUUGUUGUGAGAUGUGACUUGCUCCUUCUUGCUUUCCACCGUGAUUCUGAGGCCUCCCCAGUCAUGUGGAACUAACCAGAACUAAGAUGCCUUUAGAGAUGUGUGCAGAUAAGCUACCAGAAAUGAAAUUUCAGUUCAAGUUUGGCACUAAGGGACUGAUCGGAGUCAAACCAUAUGCUGUGGCUUUUGCUCCAUGGAAAUCUCAACUAUACUGCAAGAAUAAUUAUUCCUACUUAAUGAAGUUACAGAAGAGAAUGUGGUGCUGGACGGUAAGAUGUAUAUA
rnacentral:lncRNA from 1 species